CCUACGGGAGGCAGCAGUAAGGAAUAUUGGACAAUGGAGGCAACUCUGAUCCAGCCAUGCCGCGUGCAGGAUGACUGCCCUAUGGGUUGUAAACUGCUUUUGUACGGGAGAAAACCCUUUCACGUGUGAGAGGUUGAUAGUACCGUAAGAAUAAGGAUCGGCUAACUUCGUGCCAGCAGCCGCGGUAAGACGAAGGAUCCAAGCGUUAUCCGGAUUCAUUGGGUUUAAAGGGUGCGUAGGCGGAUAGAUAAGUCAGUGGUGAAAGCCGGUCGCUCAACGAUCGAAUUGCCAUUGAUACUGUUUAUCUAGAAUGUAGAUGAUGUUGGCGGAAUAUGACAUGUAGCGGUGAAAUGCAUAGAUAUGUCAUAGAACACCGAUUGCGAAGGCAGCUGACAAAACUAUGAUUGACGCUGAUGCACGAAAGUGCGGGGAUCAAACAGGAUUAGAUACCCUUGUAGUC
rnacentral:rRNA from 1 species